rnacentral:tRNA from 1 species
GCUGGGAUGGCAGAGCGGUCUAAUGCGCAGGUUUGCUAAACCUGUUCCCGCAAGGGAGCCAGGGUUCAAAUCCCUGUCCCAGCG